rnacentral:rRNA from 1 species
AGAGUUUGAUCCUGGCUCAGGACGAACGCUGGCGGCGCGCCUAACACAUGCAAGUCGAGCGAGAACCAGAGCUUCGGUUCUGGGGAAAGCGGCGAACGGGUGAGUAACACGUGGGUAAUCUGCCCUCGGCACCGGGAUAGCCCGAGGAAACUCGGAUUAAUACCGGAUGGCCUCUCGCGCUCUCGAGCGCGAAAGAAAAGGUGGCUUCGGCUUCUGGCCGAGGAUGAGCCCGCGGCCGAUUAGCUUGUUGGUGAGGUAAUGGCUCACCAAGGCUCCGAUCGGUAGCUGGUCUGAGAGGACGAUCAGCCACACUGGGACUGAGACACGGCCCAGACUCCUACGGGAGGCAGCAGUGGGGAAUCUUGCGCAAUGGGCGAAAGCCUGACGCAGCGACGCCGCGUGCGGGAAGAAGGCCUUCGGGUUGUAAACCGCUUUCAGGAGGGACGAAGCCACUCGCGUUAAUAGCGUAGAGGGUGACGGUACCUCCAGAAGAAGCCCCGGCUAACUACGUGCCAGCAGCCGCGGUAAUACGUAGGGGGCUAGCGUUGUCCGGAUUUAUUGGGCGUAAAGAGCGCGUAGGCGGCUAGGUAAGUCCGACGUGAAAUCUGGAGGCUCAACCUCCAGCGGUCGUUGGAAACUACUUGGCUAGAGUCCGGAAGAGGAGAGUGGAAUUCCUGGUGUAGCGGUGAAAUGCGCAGAUAUCAGGAAGAACACCGAUGGCGAAAGCAGCUCUCUGGGACGGUACUGACGCUGAGGCGCGAAAGCGUGGGGAGCGAACAGGAUUAGAUACCCUGGUAGUCCACGCCGUAAACGAUGGGUGCUAGGUGUGAGCGGUGUCGACUCCGCUCGUGCCGAAGCUAACGCAUUAAGCACCCCGCCUGAGGAGUACGGCCGCAAGGCUAAAACUCAAAUGAAUUGACGG